rnacentral:rRNA from 1 species
UACGUAGGGGGCAAGCGUUACUCGGAUUUAUUGGGCGUAAAGAGAAUUAAGGCGGUCAUGUAAGUCAGUGGUGAAAUCCCCCGGCUCAACUGGGGAAUUGCCUUUGAUACUGCGUGACUCGAGGACAGGAGAGGAAGGCGGAAUUCCCGGUGUAGCGGUGGAAUGCGUAGAUAUCGGGAGGAACACCUGAGGCGAAGGCGGCUUUCUGGACUGGUCCUGACGCUGAUAUUCGAAAGCUAGGGGAGCAAACAGGAUUAGAUACCCUGGUAGUCCUAGCUGUAAACGAUGGAUACUAGAUCUUGCAUGAUUUUGCUUGGUCGAAGCUAACGCGUUAAGUAUCCCGCCUGGGGAGUACGGUCGCAAGGCUGAA